rnacentral:rRNA from 1 species
AUUGAACGCUGGCGGCAGGCCUAACACAUGCCAGUCGAGCGGAUGAAGGGAGCUUGCUCCUGGAUUCAGCGGCGGACGGGUGAGUAAUGCCUAGGAAUCUGCCUGGUAGUGGGGGAUAACGUCCGGAAACGGGCGCUAAUACCGCAUACGUCCUGAGGGAGAAAGUGGGGGAUCUUCGGACCUCACGCUAUCAGAUGAGCCUAGGUCGGAUUAGCUAGUUGGUGGGGUAAAGGCCUACCAAGGCGACGAUCCGUAACUGGUCUGAGAGGAUGAUCAGUCACACUGGAACUGGGACACGGUCCAGACUACUACGGGAGGCAGCAGUGGGGAAUAUUGGACAAUGGGCGAAAGCCUGAUCCAGCCAUGCCGAGUGUGUGAAGAAGGUCUUCGGAUUGUAAAGCACUUUAAGUUGGGAGGAAGGGCAGUAAGUUAAUACCUUGCUGUUUUGACGUUACCAACAGAAUAAGCACCGGCUAACUUCGUG